AUGAAAUGGUUUCUGGGAUCUUUUAUAGAGGGGAUAGUCUGUAGCUUGAUGCCUUUGGAAGCAUUACAAUACAUAAAUAAACUUGUAAGUGUGUUUUACCAUGUAGCAUAAUUAUUGGUGUGUUACUCUCUAUGAACAGUUACUAUCCUGUUGUUGCAUUUUGGUUGGGCAUAAAGUGUCAGUGGUUUAGUCUCUCAAUGUCACCCUCUUUCAUUUUAUAUGCUUAUCUGAUUACUUUGCAUUGCAUA
rnacentral:misc_RNA from 1 species